GCUGAAGAUGCGGAUGAAGGCCCGCUCAUCGGUGCCCACCCUCUUCUCGCCGGCUUGAUACAGCUCCCUCGCGUCGUCUGUCACCGCCGAAGGAUCAACUUCCGGGCCUUCGUUGCGCCGGACUCCCAGGUGCGUUCGGUGAUGUCAUGCUCGAGGUAGCAUCCGAACCUCGCGCGGUAGGUUUGCUUCAUGAUCUGCAGCUGCGACGGCGUCCUGGAGCAGAUUACCUCCGUGGCGGCUCUCAGGUCGGUGAUGUCGCCGUUGAGAGCCUGGUUCAGUAUGGUCGCGUCACGCCCCACGGGGUCGAGGACCCAAAGCAGCAUAGCAUUCUGCAACCACAGCCAUGCAGGAUGAGCGCGCGCUGCGCCGAGUCGCGGUGAGCAAGUAUGUUAGUCACCGUCGUGCUGUCGCAGCCGAACCCUGCACAAUACAAGAAGACCACCGGCUGUUACACAGAAAACAUCGAUUGUUGCUAGACAGGAUGGAAGAAAUAGUUCAUCGUUCGUUUCAUCUCUGUGUACCUUUGAAGGCCUUGUGGAGAGCGACGGCGUCAUCACGCGGAGGCGUGAGCACCGGAGGC